AGAAAAGCGCUUCAGUAGCGAGAGGGGCUGGGAAAGUGGUGAUACCGUCGGGGUGCGGAGGGAGUCCCUGAAACUUCUCCCAACAGCCCCAGGGCCAAUCUCCCCUCAGCCCACUCCCCUCUUCGCCAGCUCCCAGGUUCCCCACUCCCUGCACCGGGGGUGGGGUGGGGAGCCAGGCCCGUCUCCCGCUGGGACACACACAGGGGCCGGGAGCGGGGACGGGACCCCCGAGGCAGGGGGGGGAACAGACCGACAGACAGACGGCCAGGCGCCCGCCCCAGCAGGCAGGCAGGCAGGAGGAGGCGGAGGCGGGGGUACGACCGGGAGAACUGGGUCUGGGGAGUUUCCUUUCAACUACCGGGGGAGAAACUCCCCGUAGCCGGAGGAGAGACCAGACGGUGUUUUCCUCCCGGGGGCCGCGCUCCCCCGGCCCGCGUAGCGGCGGCCGCCGCCGCCACCGGCUCCUCCACCUCUGCCAUCUCUUUCUCCAACACCUCGGGCCCCGGUGUCCCCGGCCAGCACUAUGCCCAUCUUACUGUUCCUGAUAGACACGUCUGCCUCUAUGAACCAGCGCAGCCAUCUGGGCACCACCUACCUGGACACGGCCAAAGGCGCGGUAGAGACCUUCAUGAAGCUGCGUGCCCGGGAUCCCGCCAGCCGAGGAGACAGGUACAUGCUGGUGACUUUCGAAGAGCCGCCCUAUGCCAUCAAGGCCGGGUGGAAAGAAAAUCAUGCCACGUUUAUGAAUGAACUGAAAAAUCUUCAGGCUGAAGGACUCACGACUCUUGGCCAAUCCCUAAGGACAGCUUUUGAUUUAUUAAAUUUAAAUAGAUUAGUAACUGGCAUAGACAACUAUGGGCAGGGAAGAAACCCUUUUUUCUUGGAACCAGCAAUAAUUAUUACAAUUACUGAUGGGAGCAAGUUGACUACUACCAGUGGAGUUCAGGAUGAGCUCCAUUUACCUCUUAAUUCUCCUUUGCCUGGAAGUGAACUGACCAAGGAACCUUUUCGGUGGGAUCAGAGACUCUUUGCAUUAGUGUUGCGGUUGCCUGGCACCAUGUCUGUAGAAUCAGAACAGUUGACAGGUGUGCCUUUAGAUGAUUCUGCAAUCACACCAAUGUGUGAAGUAACAGGCGGUCGCUCAUAUUCAGUAUGUUCUCCAAGAAUGCUUAACCAGUGUCUAGAGUCAUUGGUGCAGAAAGUGCAGAGUGGUGUGGUAAUAAACUUUGAAAAAGCAGGACCAGAUCCCUCCCCUGUAGAAGAUGGACAGCCAGAUAUAUCUAGGCCAUUUGGAUCACAGCCUUGGCAUAGCUGUCACAAACUCAUUUAUGUCAGACCAAAUCCUAAAACUGGGGUUCCUAUUGGUCAUUGGCCUGUUCCAGAAUCAUUUUGGCCAGAUCAAAAUUCUCCAACACUACCACCUCGAACUUCUCAUCCUGUAGUGAAGUUUUCCUGUACAGACUGUGAACCAAUGGUGAUUGACAAAUUGCCUUUUGACAAAUAUGAAUUGGAGCCAUCACCACUGACUCAAUUUAUCUUGGAAAGGAAAUCUCCUCAAACAUGUUGGCAGGUAUAUGUGAGCAAUAGUGCAAAAUACAAUGAACUUGGCUAUCCCUUUGGUUACUUGAAAGCCAGUACAGCAUUGAACUGUGUCAACUUAUUUGUGAUGCCUUAUAAUUACCCAGUCCUCCUUCCCCUUUUAGAUGACUUGUUUAAAGUACAUAAAGCAAAACCAACACUGAAAUGGAGACAGUCAUUCGAAAGUUAUUUGAAGACAAUGCCACCUUACUAUCUUGGGCCUUUGAAGAAAGCUGUCAGAAUGAUGGGAGCACCUAACCUAAUAGCAGACAGUAUGGAAUAUGGACUUAGUUACAGUGUCAUUUCAUACCUCAAAAAACUGAGUCAACAGGCCAAAAUAGAAUCUGAUCGAGUCAUUGGAUCUGUAGGUAAAAAAGUGGUACAGGAAACUGGAAUUAAAGUCCGAAGUCGGUCACAUGGUUUAUCGAUGGCAUACAGGAAAGAUUUUCAGCAGCUGCUCCAGGGAAUUACAGAGGAUGUCCCUCAUAGACUGCUAGACCUUAAUAUGAAAGAAUAUACUGGAUUCCAAGUUGCUUUGCUCAAUAAGGAUUUAAAGCCACAGACAUUUAGAAAUGCAUAUGAUAUACCAAGACGGAAUCUUUUGGAUCACUUAACAAGAAUGAGAUCUAACCUUUUGAAGAGUACUCGUAGAUUUCUUAAAGGACAGGAUGAAGAUCAAGUGCACAGUGUUCCUAUAGCACAAAUGGGUAAUUACCAGGAAUACCUCAAGCAAGUACCUUCUCCACUAAGAGAACUUGAUCCUGACCAGCCUCGAAGGUUGCACACAUUUGGUAAUCCUUUUAAGCUGGAUAAAAAGGGCAUGAUGAUAGAUGAAGCAGAUGAAUUUGUGGCUGGGCCUCAAAAUAAACAUAAACGACCUGGAGAACCAAACAUGCAAGGGAUCCCUAAGAGACGGCGCUGUAUGUCUCCACUGCUAAGGGGCAGACAGCAAAAUCCAGUAGUGAACAAUCAUAUUGGAGGAAAAGGACCACCUGUACCUGUGACCCAAGUCCAGACAGAUCUUAUUAAACCCCUUCCUCUUCAUAAAAUGUCAGAAGCCACUAAUGAUUCAACAAUAGAUGAUAUAGUUGAAAAUCAUGUUGCAGAUCAACUUUCAGCAGAGAUUACACCAAAUGCUAUGGAUACUGAGUUUUCAACAUCUGCCAAUUUACUGGAACGACCAACAAACCAUACAGAGGCUCUUGGACAUGACCAUUUAGGAAACAAUGCCCUUACUGUUGGUGGAUUUUUAGAAAAUCAUGAGGAACCAAGAGAUAAAGAACAGUGUCCUGAAGAAAAUAUACCAGCAUCUUCACUCAACAAAGGAAAGAAAUUGAUGCAUUGCAGAAGUCAUGAAGAGGUCAACACAGAACUAAAAGCACAAAUAAUGAAAGAGAUCCGAAAGCCAGGAAGAAAAUAUGAAAGAAUCUUCACUUUACUGAAACAUGUGCAAGGCAGUUUGCAAACAAGAUUAAUAUUUUUACAAAAUGUCAUUAAAGAAGCAUCAAGGUUUAAAAAACGAAUGCUAAUAGAACAACUGGAAAACUUCUUGGAUGAAAUUCAUCGAAGAGCCAAUCAGAUCAACCAUAUUAAUAGCAAUUAAAGAGAACAGAAAGUGGCCACUUAUUUCACUAUCUUCUCCAAAUACAAAAUAAGAAAACUGAAGCCUAAAGAGUUGAAGAAACUUUCCCAAGAGGAUGUAAUGAGUGCAUGGUGGUGGUCAACCAAACCAAGGCCUGUGAAAGCAGAGCCAAUGGCCUUGUUGCCUACACUUCGCAUCUCAUGUGGUCUCACACAAGAUCAUUCCUCAGUGGUUUGCAAGUUCUAAAGGCAAAUCCAACCAUAAUGGAGCACUUACAGUAGAGUUGGGCAUAUGUCUCCUCUGAUACCAGCUGCUCCAGGAUGAAGUCAGAAUUCUGUCUCCUAAAUACAUAAAGGUGGUGGCAGACUCCUGCACCAGGUUAAUUUUCACUCAACUUUCAACUCCAAAAGCUCUUUUUCCUUCCCUGAGCUCAAGUAGAAAGGAAGAUUAUGGUUCUGUUCCAUGCCAGAGAAAGCUGUUGAAAUGUCCAGAUUUUGUUCUUUGAUAAGGGAUCUAAAUAUUUGGUAUGAACAGAUAGACUAUAUCAUAGAGUUCAGUUCAUUUUCUGCCCUGGUUCAGACACAUUUCAUUUUAAACCUUGGCCCAAGGUUACUGGGCCUGUCUUUGUGUGUUUUUAUUGCAGUGCUUGGGACUUAUUAUUAUUUUACCUCAUCAAGGAAGCAAGCACUUCAAAAACCUCUGCCACAGUGCUACUGAGAACCUGCUCAGAGGAGGCGGCCAGCCAAAGGGAAGGAGCACUGAGGAUCCACCAGCUGAAAAUGAGUCCUGGACCUACCCUUCUAACUCAAAGAUAACCUCCAAACUAAUUAUAAGUUUCAUGUAAUUUCAAAUGUACUGGAGAAACUAAUCAUUUUAAGCAUGCUCUAUGAAGAAUCCUUUACAAAUUAGUAAAUUUGGUAAAUAUAUUUUGGUUUGGAAAAACA